rnacentral:rRNA from 1 species
UACGUAGGGGGCAAGCGUUGUCCGGAAUUAUUGGGCGUAAAGCGUGCGCAGGCGGUGAUGUAAGACCGAUGUGAAAUCCCCGGGCUUAACCUGGGAACUGCAUUGGUGACUGCAUUGCUGGAGUAUGGCAGAGGGGGGUAGAAUUCCACGUGUAGCAGUGAAAUGCGUAGAGAUGUGGAGGAACACCGAUGGCGAAGGCGGAUCUCUGGGCCAUUACUGACGCUGAGGAGCGAAAGCGUGGGGAGCGAACAGG